rfam:Ktedonobacter sp. 13_2_20CM_53_11 13_2_20cm_scaffold_2419, whole genome shotgun sequence.
AGCCUCCUUGAGGCUAACGGGGCUCCGUUCAGGAAGAAACGAGGUACGUCCAAGUGCUUCACCAGCUUGGACCUCUACGGUGCAGGAUUAAACAGGUUGACGGGGUAAAGCCAGUGUCUUGUACGCUCAACCUUCCUUGAACGUUGACGAGGUGAGCAUUAC